rnacentral:rRNA from 1 species
AGCAGGUACAGAAUUAAGAUCUCGGACAGAAUGUCAAUAUCGGGGAAUCGUAAUGAUUUUAUCGGAGAGUAUUUGCACUCGAAAGGGCUAAGAUGAAUAUUAAAUAAUCGGACAUAGUACGAUAAGGUUGUAUGUCUAAAGGGAAACAGCCCAAAACAAGAGUAAUAAGGUUCCUAAAUUAUUAUUAAGUGAAAUUAAGGAUAUCUAUAUAUAAUACAACCAGGAAAUAGGCUUAGAAGCGGUCAUUUUUUAAAGAUCUCGUAACAGAGCACUGGUAAAUUAAAUAUAUAUAAAUACCAAAAAUUUAACGGAUCUAAAUAAUAUACCGAAACCUUGUACAAAAAUAGAGAAAUAAAUAAAUAAAAAAAAAUAAAUCUAUUUUUGAGAUAGCGGAACAAUGGAUAAAAUAAUAGAAAUAAAGUAAAAUUACUUUAUUAAAAUAAUUUAAGAAUCCAAGAGAGAAUGCUGACAUGAGUAACGAAAAAGGAAUAUAUCCUCGCCUUAAGCUUAUGGUAUUAAAGUUAAAUUUCGGUUUCUAAGUAAAAAUCUAAGGAUUUAAUUAUGAUGAAAAGAAGAAUAAUAAUAAAGUACAAAACCUUUAUCAAGUGUUA